rnacentral:rRNA from 1 species
GAUGAACGCUGGCGGCGUGCCUAAUACAUGCAAGUCGAGCGAACAGGCGAGGAGCUUGCUCCUCUGACGUUAGCGGCGGACGGGUGAGUAACACGUGGAUAACCUACCUAUAAGACUGGGAUAACUUCGGGAAACCGGAGCUAAUACCGGAUAAUAUAUUGAACCGCAUGGUUCAAUAGUGAAAGACGGUUUUGCUGUCACUUAUAGAUGGAUCCGCGCCGCAUUAGCUAGUUGGUAAGGUAACAGCUUACCAAGGCAACGAUGCGUAGCCGACAUGAGAGGGUGAGCGGCCACACUGGAACUGAGACACGGUCCAGACUCCUACGGGAGGCAGCAGUAGGGAAUCUUCCGCAAUGGGCGAAAGCCUGACGGAGCAACGCCGCGUGAGUGAUGAAGGUCUUCGGAUCGUAAAACUCUGUUAUUAGGGAAGAACAAAUGUGUAAGUAACUAUGCACGUCUUGACGGUACCUAAUCAGAAAGCCACGGCUAACUACGUG